AACGCUAGCUACAGGCUUAACACAUGCAAGUCGAGGGGCAGCAUGAACUUAGCUUGCUAAGUUUGAUGGCGACCGGCGCACGGGUGAGUAACACGUAUCCAACCUGCCGAUGACUCGGGGAUAGCCUUUCGAAAGAAAGAUUAAUACCCGAUGGCAUAGUUCUUCCGCAUGGUAGAACUAUUAAAGAAUUUCGGUCAUCGAUGGGGAUGCGUUCCAUUAGGUUGUUGGCGGGGUAACGGCCCACCAAGCCUUCGAUGGAUAGGGGUUCUGAGAGGAAGGUCCCCCACAUUGGAACUGAGACACGGUCCAAACUCCUACGGGAGGCAGCAGUGAGGAAUAUUGGUCAAUGGGCGAGAGCCUGAACCAGCCAAGUAGCGUGAAGGAUGACUGCCCUAUGGGUUGUAAACUUCUUUUAUAAAGGAAUAAAGUCGGGUAUGCAUACCCGUUUGCAUGUACUUUAUGAAUAAGGAUCGGCUAACUCCGUGCCAGCAGCCGCGGUAAUACGGAGGAUCCGAGCGUUAUCCGGAUUUAUUGGGUUUAAAGGGAGCGUAGAUGGAUGUUUAAGUCAGUUGUGAAAGUUUGCGGCUCAACCGUAAAAUUGCAGUUGAUACUGGAUAUCUUGAGUGCAGUUGAGGCAGGCGGAAUUCGUGGUGUAGCGGUGAAAUGCUUAGAUAUCACGAAGAACUCCGAUUG
rnacentral:rRNA from 1 species